rnacentral:tRNA from 1 species
GCCGGGGUGGCCGAGCGGUUAGGCGGCGGGCUGCAGACCCGCUGACAUGGGUUCAAAUCCCGUCCCCGGCUCCA